rnacentral:rRNA from 1 species
UGUAAGCGUAUACCAAAGUUGUUGCAGUUAAAACGCUCGUAGUCGGAAUUUGGCAGUUCCGGAUGUGUGCACGUCGUGUGCGCACUUCGCGGGGACUGCUUUUGUGGUCUUGCGUAGGAUGAGGCACUUUCAUUAGUGAACGUCCUCACGCAACCACUCUUUACUGUGAGAAAAUCAGAGUGCUCAAAGCAGGCAUUUGCCGUGAAUGUAUUAGCAUGGAAUAAUAGAAUAGGACUCGGUUCUAUUUUGUUGGUUUGUUGGGACUGAGUAAUGAUUAAGAGGGACAGUUGGGGGCAUUUGUAUUCCGGCGCUAGAGGUGAAAUUCUUAGAUUGCCGGAAGACAAACUGCUGCGAAAGCGUCUGCCAAGGAUGUUUUCAUUGA